UACGAAGGGGGCUAGCGUUGCUCGGAAUCACUGGGCGUAAAGGGUGCGUAGGCGGGUCUUUAGGUCAGGGGUGAAAUCCUGGAGCUCAACUCCAGAACUGCCUUUGAUACUGAAGAUCUUGAGUUCGGGAGAGGUGAGUGGAACUGCGAGUGUAGAGGUGAAAUUCGUAGAUAUUAGGAAGAACACCAGUGGCGAAGGCGGCUCACUGGUCCGGUACUGACGCUGAGGUGCGAAAGCGUGGGGAGCAAACAGG
rnacentral:rRNA from 1 species